rnacentral:lncRNA from 1 species
CCGCGCGACAACGUGGGCCGCUCUAGUCUCCAGGCGGCGGUGCUCAGUGGUCGGUUACUGAGGGGCCUUGUGGCAACAAGGUGACAUAGGACAAACAGCACUCAGGUGAGCACCUGGAAAAGGCUGUUGAAGCACACAGGUUGGGACUUUCGAGAGUAGCGCACCCCACCUGAAAACCUGACAGCAGGUGUGUGGACAGUGAGGUCUGCCCUCUCUCUGUUCCACAGGUGGGAGAAUUAAACAUCACAAUGCCCAGUGCCUGCUAGAUGAGAACUGAUUCCAGCAAUGCCGGUCACGCUCUGCUUACGCCUACAUCUGCACAGUUCUAGGUGGCUGUUCCAUCCCCUCCCCACCCUGGAGUACCCAUGGUGAACCUCAGAUCCUAAGCGUGACCGUGGUGUUUGGGUGCCAUUUCCAGGCUGCUGCUUGGAAGGUCCUUUUUGAAGGGGGAAGGUACUGGAUGGUCUUGAAUUCAUUUUGGAUAUUACAGGGUCCCCUCCCCCCUUCCUCUUGGGGAAGUUGGUCCAGUAGGUCACGAUGUCCUGCAGCUAUGGAGCGUGAGAAAUAGAUGAUAUUGCCGACUGCCAUUGUAAGACCCCCAAAGCUGGGCCUCUGCUCAAGUCCUGGGAUGAGCUGGCCAGCACCCCAAUGACUCGAGAGAAAACCACACCUGAUGCAAACUGCAAGAGGUUUUAUUAUCAGCUAGCUGAGGACGAACUCCUUGUGCUUCGCAGGGCAGGGGAGUUCGACCCCGAGCAGUAACAGUAGGGGGCUUUCAACAGCUAGCUGAGGAAUUGGGAGGAGUUGGGCUACAGCUCUUCUCUGCCAGGUAUCCUUGGUAAAAUUACAAUUAUCGCAUCUCUGGUUGUAAAGUAUAGAAACAAAAAGGCUUUUUGCUGGCUAUAGAGAACAAAGAGCUUCUUUCUGGCUGUAUUUUUAGAGAUCUGGGAAAACAAGCUUGGGGAAUGUCCAGGGGCUUUACCUUCCAGGGAGAAACGCUCUAAGUUGGGGUCUCACACCAUCAGCAGUAGUUGAUAUUGGGUACCAUCAGUGACCACUUUAAGCCAGGAGCCAUCAACUCUGGCUUUUAUUGCUUGUUACCAUCAGCAGAGGCUGAUAUUAGGUGCCAUCAGUGACUAGCUGUUCUGUUGGGCGUUAACAGCACCCAUCUCAGGUCAGAAGCCAUCAGUUCUGGGUUGUGUGCAUUUCAUGUGUGUCUCUCAGGAUGGGACAAAGUAAAUCUACAGACAGAGAGUUACUUACAGAUGUUAUUAAGCAUACUGUUAAAGAAAAAGGCAUUGAAGUUAACACUAGCCAGCUGACUGACUUCAGUUUGUACAAACUUAGUCCAGCUAGUCCUUGUUUUCCAGGAAAAAGAACUCCAGAGGUAGAUAGGUAGAUACAUGAGAGAAAGGAUUAGAUAUUUAAAACUGGUUUUCAGAGACUGGAGGCGUGCCCCUUACAGCGUUUGCUAUUUGGAAUGUGCUUAGGACGGCAUUGGCAGACGGCAAAAAAGCCAUAUGUGCUCAGGAGACAGUAGGUUUACCUCCUUGUGAGGGUACUCCAUCACUACAGUCUCCCUCAGGAUCUAAGGACAAUGUUUAUUUCUCAACAGAAAAGUCUGAGAAAAGUAGCUCAGGAGAGGUUAGUUAUGAAUCAGAAGAGGAGAAAUCAACCUUAGAGGAGGAGUCUGACUCAGAAAAGAUGAUCAGUGAUGGGCCCAACUUGGGGUCCACCUCAUGAGCAGGUACCAAACACUGACACUAUUACUGAUGUUGUGCUCUCAGACAGGAGCCUAGCAUGGCUGGCAUCUGGGUUUUUGGAGGUUGCAAUAUAUCUGUCUAAGCCCUUCUAGCUUUUACAGUCUCUGUUGAGACGUCAGGUGCAACUCUGAUAGGUCUGCCUUUGUAUGUUACCUGGCCCCCUUUACUUACUGCUUUUAAUAUUGUUUCUUUGUUCUGUAGAUUUUUGUGUUUUGAUUAUUAUGUGACAGGAGGAUUUUUUUCUGGUCCAGCCUAAUUGGUGUUCUCUAAGAUUCUUGUAUAGGUCUAUAGAAAUCUCUUUAGGUUGGGACCUUUCUUCCUUCCUUUCUUUCUUUCUUUCUUUCUUUCUUUCUUUUUUCUGUGAUUUAGUUGAAAAUAUUUUCUGGGCCUUGGAGCUCUGACUCUACCUUCUUCUAUUUCAAUUAUUUUUAUGUUAGGACUUGUCACGGUAUCCCAGGUUUCCUGGAUGUUUUGUGUCAGAAUGUUUUAGAUUUAACAUUAUUUUCUCACUGAUGUAUCAGUUUGUCCUGUUAUAUCUUGCAUGCCUGAGAUUCUCCCAUCUCCUGAGUUACGUUGGUGAUGCUUGUAUUUGUUGUUCUUUUCCCUAGAUUUUCCAUCUCUAGGAUUUCCUCUUUAUUGCUUCUCUUUUCACUUUCAGGUCUUGCACAGUUUUAUGAAGGAAAUACUUCACCUGUUUAAUUGUAUUUUCCUGUAUGUCUUUAAGGGAUUCAUUUGUUUCCACUUUAAAGACCUCUACCUGUUUGAUUGUAUUUUCUUGUAUUUCUUUAAGGGAUUUGUUCAUUUGCUCUUUAAAGGCCUCUGUCAUCUUUAUAAGAUUGGAUUUAAGGUCAUUUUCUUGUGCUUGAGUUGUGUUAGGAUAUCCAGGGCUUGCUGUAGGAGGGCAUGUGUGCUCUGAAAGUGUCAUAUUACCCUGGCUUUUGUUGAUUUUUUUUUGAGGGCCUUUAGCCAUCUGGAUGGCUUUGGUCCCUGGAUGCUCCUGUUGUAAUAGAUAUUGGGAGGGAGGUUAACCUUGAUGCUGCUGAUUUGCCAGGCCUCUAAUGGGUAUCCGUGGGUUGUAUGGUUCCAUAUCUGCAGGUCUGUUUGGUUCAGGAUCUGUAGAUCCCACAAAGGUGGGCAGAGGUGGAUGGAGAGUGGAGGUCCUCCUGUGCCAUCAGGCUGCUCAGGGCAGCUCGGCUGGCUCCAGAGGUCUCAGCAAGCAGGGAAGAAAAGUCUGGGAAGGGAAGCUUCCCUGUAUGGCUUAGGAUCCACAGGUCUGAUGAAGGUGGGCGGAGAGGAGGGUGGAGAAUGGAGGCCCUCCUGGGCUAGCAGGCUGCUCAGGGCAACUCGGCGGGCUCCAGAGCAGGUUAAUAUUUCUUGUUUGCUGUCUCUGAUAUGUAACUGCUUUCUCACUUACAGUUACUCUUUUUCUUUUCUCUUUCUUUUUCUUUUUCUUUUUCAACAUUUACUAUCAGUAUCCAAAUUUAAUUAUUAUCAAAUGAAUGGUGUCUUGCCUUCAAGGACCAUCAGAGGCUUAUAUUCUUAGCUGCUUGCCUUCAAACUCUACUUGAACCUGCCCAGCUCCAUCUCUGAAACCUUUUACAAUUAGCAUUAAGCUGGGCUGUCCUAAACAUCUUUUAAUGAAAAGGAAAAGUUAUUUUCAUACAAUUUAUUUUGACCAUGCUUUCCCUUCUCCCAAUCCCCCCAGAUCCUCCCCACUUACCCACUCACUAGCAUCCUGCCCUUUCUUUAUCUUAAAAAAAAAGAAGAAACACACACACAAAACCACAAAAAUCACCAGGCAGUGGUGGUGCAUGCUUUUAAUCCCAGCACUUGGGAGGCAGAGGCAGGUGGGUUUCUGAGUUUGAGGCCAGCCUGGUCUACAGAGUGAGUUCUAGGACAGCCUGGGCUACACAGAGAAACCCUGUCUUGAAAAAAAAAAGAGUCCAACAACAACAACAAAACAAAAUCCAGUUCAUUUUGUGUUAGCCAUCUAUUCCCCAGCGAGGGACUCUGACAGAGCAUCUCCUUAUCCACAAACAGUUGUCCUUUUAUCAGUCAUCCAGGCACCCUGAACAGCUAUCAGAGGGGACAGCCCAGACAUGAUGGAAAGUCAGUGGGAUUAAUUUCUUGUGGUGACACAUUUAACCAGUCAGAUACAGUACAUUGCAGGACAGCAGGCAGACACAUUUCCAUCCUUUGAAUCUACACAGUCACAUAGAUAAGUGUUAUGGGUUUUUCCCAUGGGCUGCCCUGAAAUACUCGGUACGGUAGCCUGGAAAAAUGUCACACGAGGAGGAGAUAUUAUGAAACUUAGGGCAUUACAUUUAAUUGCAUAGCAAGCAUAUAACCAGACAGCCAUCUCUCUGGUCCUUCACCUACUGUUUGUAUCCAUUUUAAAAGGAGUUUUGGCCUUUCCCUUGGAAUUUAUAACAUUCUUAGUUAAUCAUUAUGCACAUUUAUUGCUUGAAGAAUACUGCAAAAAUUUAGCCUUCACUUUCAAAUUUUGUACUUUUAUUGUAGUAUCUUUUGUUUUUUAAUGUGUAAUAAAAACAUAAAACACAA